rnacentral:rRNA from 1 species
AGCGUACACGGUGGAUGCCCUGGCAGUCAGAGGCGAUGAAGGACGUGCUAAUCUGCGAUAAGCGCCGGUAAGGUGAUAUGAACCGUUAUAACCGGCGAUUUCCGAAUGGGGAAACCCAGUGUGAUUCGUCACACUAUCAUUAACUGAAUCCAUAGGUUAAUGAGGCGAACCGGGGGAACUGAAACAUCUAAGUACCCCGAGGAAAAGAAAUCAACCGAGAUUCCCCCAGUAGCGGCGAGCGAACGGGGAGGAGCCCAGAGCCUGAAUCAGCAUGUGUGUUAGUGGAAGCGUCUGGAAAGGUGCGCGAUACAGGGUGACAGCCCCGUACACAAAAGCGCAUGKGCUGUGAGCUCGAUGAGUAGGGCGGGACACGUGGUAUCCUGUCUGAAUAUGGGGGGACCAUCCUCCAAGGCUAAAUACUCCUGACUGACCGAUAGUGAACCAGUACCGUGAGGGAAAGGCGAAAAGAACCCCGGCGAGGGGAGUGAAAAAGAACCUGAAACCGUGUACGUACAAGCAGUGGGAGCACAGGUUUACCUGUGUGACUGCGUACCUUUUGUAUAAUGGGUCAGCGACUUAUAUUCUGUAGCAAGGUUAACCGUAUAGGGGAGCCGGAGGGAAACCGAGUCUUAACCGGGCGUUAAGUUGCAGGGUAUAGACCCGAAACCCGGUGAUCUAGCCAUGGGCAGGUUGAAGGUUGGGUAACACUAACUGGAGGACCGAACCGACUAAUGUUGAAAAAUUAGCGGAUGACCUGUGGCUGGGGGUGAAAGGCCAAUCAAACCGGGAGAUAGCUGGUUCUCCCCGAAAGCUAUUUAGGUAGCGCCUCGUGAAUUCAUCUCCGGGGGUAGAGCACUGUUUCGGCUAGGGGGCCAUCCCGGCUUACCAACCCGAKGCAAACUGCGAAUMCCGGAGAAUGUUAUCACGGGAGACACACGGCGGGUGCUAACGUCCGUCGUGAAGAGGGAAACAACCCAGACCGCCAGCUAAGGUCCCAAAGUCAUGGUUAAGUGGGAAACGAUGUGGGAAGGCCCAGACAGCCAGGAUGKUGGCUUAGAAGCAGCCAUCAUUUAAAGAAAGCGUAAUAGCUCACUGGUCGAGUCGGCCUGCGCGGAAGAUGUAACGGGGCUAAACCAUGCACCGAAGCUGCGGCAGCGAACGUAUCACUUAAAGCGAUUCAGCGGGUUACGAUUGACGGAGCGAAGCGACGUCAAAGCGUAUACAAAGUCGAGUCGGUUUAAGGAUACGUUCGUUGGGUAGGGGAGCGUUCUGUAAGCCCGUGAAGGUGGCCUGUGAGGGUUGCUGGAGGUAUCAGAAGUGCGAAUGCUGACAUAAGUAACGAUAAAGCGGGUGAAAAGCCCGCUCGCCGGAAGACCAAGGGUUCCUGUCCAACGUUAAUCGGGGCAGGGUGAGUCGACCCCUAAGGCGAGGCCGAAAGGCGUAGUCGAUGGGAAACGGGUUAAUAUUCCCGUACUUGGUGUUACUGCGAAGGGGGGACGGAGAAGGCUAUGUUGGCCGGGCGACGGUUGUCCCGGUUUAAGCGUGUAGGUGUGUGUUCCAGGUAAAUCCGGUUCACUUUAACACUGAGGCGUGAUGACGAGGCACUACGGUGCUGAAGCAACAAAUGCCCUGCUUCCAGGAAAAGCCUCUAAGCAUCAGGUAACAUCAAAUCGUACCCCAAACCGACACAGGUGGUCAGGUAGAGAAUACCAAGGCGCUUGAGAGAACUCGGGUGAAGGAACUAGGCAAAAUGGUGCCGUAACUUCGGGAGAAGGCACGCUGACACGUAGGUGAAGUGAUUUACUCAUGGAGCUGAAGUCAGUCGAAGAUACCAGCUGGCUGCAACUGUUUAUUAAAAACACAGCACUGUGCAAACACGAAAGUGGACGUAUACGGUGUGACGCCUGCCCGGUGCCGGAAGGUUAAUUGAUGGGGUCAGCGCAAGCGAAGCUCCUGAUCGAAGCCCCGGUAAACGGCGGCCGUAACUAUAACGGUCCUAAGGUAGCGAAAUUCCUUGUCGGGUAAGUUCCGACCUGCACGAAUGGCGUAAUGAUGGCCAGGCUGUCUCCACCCGAGACUCAGUGAAAUUGAACUCGCUGUGAAGAUGCAGUGUACCCGCGGCAAGACGGAAAGACCCCGUGAACCUUUACUAUAGCUUGACACUGAACAUUGAGCCUUGAUGUGUAGGAUAGGUGGGAGGCUUUGAAGUGUGGACGCCAGUCUGCAUGGAGCCGACCUUGAAAUACCACCCUUUAAUGUUUGAUGUUCUAACGUGGACCCGUAAUCCGGGUUGCGGACAGUGUCUGGUGGGUAGUUUGACUGGGGCGGUCUCCUCCUAAAGAGKAACGGAGGAGCACGAAGGUUGGCUAAUCCUGGUCGGACAUCAGGAGGUUAGUGCAAUGGCAUAAGCCAGCUUGACUGCGAGCGUGACGGCGCGRGCAGGUGCGAAAGCAGGUCAUAGUGAUCCGGUGGUUCUGAAUGGAAGGGCCAUCGCUCAACGGAUAAAAGGUACUCCGGGGAUAACAGGCUGAUACCGCCCAAGAGUUCAUAUCGACGGCGGUGUUUGGCACCUCGAUGUCGGCUCAUCACAUCCUGGGGCUGAAGUAGGUCCCAAGGGUAUGGCUGUUCGCCAUUUAAAGUGGUACGCGRGCUGGGUUUAGAACGUCGUGAGACAGUUCGGUCCCUAUCUGCCGUGGGCGCUGGAGAACUGAGGGGGGCUGCUCCUAGUACGAGAGGACCGGAGUGGACGCAUCACUGGUGUUCGGGUUGUCAUGCCAAUGGCACUGCCCGGUAGCUAAAUGCGGAAGAGAUAAGUGCUGAAAGCAUCUAAGCACGAAACUUGCCCCGAGAUGAGUUCU